rnacentral:rRNA from 1 species
GACGAACGCUGGCGGCGUGCUUAACACAUGCAAGUCGAACGGAAAGGCCCUGCUUUUGUGGGGUGCUCGAGUGGCGAACGGGUGAGUAACACGUGAAUAACCUGCCCUUGACUUUGGGAUAACUUCAGGAAACUGGGGCUAAUACCGGAUAGGAGCUGCUGCUGCAUGGUGGGGGUUGGAAAGUUUCGGCGGUUGGGGAUGGACUCGCGGCUUAUCAGCUUGUUGGUGGGGUAGUGGCUUACCAAGGCUUUGACGGGUAGCCGGCCUGAGAGGGUGACCGGCCACAUUGGGACUGAGAUACGGCCCAGACUCCUACGGGAGGCAGCAGUGGGGAAUAUUGCACAAUGGGCGGAAGCCUGAUGCAGCAACGCCGCGUGCGGGAUGACGGCCUUCGGGUUGUAAACCGCUUUCGCCUGUGACGAAGCGUGAGUGACGGUAAUGGGUAAAGAAGCACCGGCUAACUACGUG